UCCCUGGCACCGCAUGAUAACGAGACUACAUGGGGAGCACAGGUUCUUCCUUCUUAGCAAGACAGUAUCUCCUUUUAUAUUGAAAGCAGAUGAAAGCCUAGAAAUACUUCUUAGAGCUUGGAAGAAAAGGAACUUGGAGAGAAGAUUUUUAUUUAUAAAUGGAAGCUUUUGUAUUCUAGACAAAUCACAAAUGACAUUAAUAAAUGAACAUCCCUAACCACUGGGAGGAUGAUUCCACAUGAGAAGGAAUUUGCUUUGACACCUGUGUUGUACCACUAUACUCAGUGUAUCCAUUUCCUUGGAUAAAACCAACUUUAUCCUUGGAUGAGACUAGAACAUUAAAAAGCCCUGGAUUUGAAUUGAACCUUUUGAGUCUUUGGUCUAAUUACUUGUAUCAAAUUGAGUUUUGGUUUUAUGCUACCAGUCAACACUGAAGGGCAUGAAGAAAAGGAGAUACUGUAAACUAGUAAUUAGACCUAUUGUGGAGAUGCUGUUGAGAAUAUCUUGUAGUGUAUCAUAUAGUAGCUUUUUUUUUUGUUUGUUUUUUUGCUUUUUAGGUCUACACCUGGGGCAUAUGGAAGUUCCCAGGCUAAGAGUCAAAUCGAAGCUAUUGCUGCCAGCCACAGCCACGGCAAUACCAGACCCGAGCUGCCUCUUUGACCUACACCAAAGCCAGAUCCUUUAACCCACUGAAUGAUGCCAAGGAUCUAACCUGCAUCUUCAUGGAGUAUAGUCAGGUUUGUUACCUCUGAGCCACAACAGGAACUCCCUAUACAAAUCUGGCAGCCAGCUUCCUUUUCCUUUCUAUUUUUCAUCUGGGAGGCUCUCCAUUUGAUAUUGUGGAUUUUGCAGUUGUCUGCCUUUCUUUCUCUACUUUGCAUUCUGGAAGGUUAGAAUCCAAUUUGGCCCUCCCAGAUAGUAACUGUAUAUAGGUAAUAGAGUAUGCAUUCCUAUUUGCCAGUUUGGCCCAGGCUCUGUCAUCUUUCUAUGUUUUCCUUGAUUUCUUCAACUAUUGAUCCCAUUCUUUAUCAGCUUUGUUUAUUUUUUUUUUCUAGCAAACUCAUAUCCUUUGCUGCAGAAGAGACCUAUGUAAAUCUAUUUAUCAUAUAGUCUGUCUAAACAAUUGUGAAAAUAAUACCUUCACCUAUGGGAGAAAGUCCAAAUAACUUUAUACCAUAUAAGACCCUCCGUAGACUUAACAUCUUAAUCUUCUCUCUCAUGUUAGUAAGUAAUUUCCAUUCUAUUUUACACUCUUCUCUUAAUCCCACCACUCUCUGUUUCAAGGCAACAUGUUGAGAGUUUCACAAAAAAACAAUGCUGUUCCAUGCCUCUGUGUCUUAAUGCAUAUGUUUGUGCUCUCCUGGCUGCUAUUACUAUUCUUCCUUGAGUCUUCUUACCUCUCAUCCUUCCAUCCACUAGCACAGAUAUAUACUUUGUUCUCCUACUGUAUGUAUAUUAAUUUCUGUCUUAUAAUUAAUACAGAUACUUUGAUAGAACUUUUCCACCAAAUCUCUUUGUCACUAGACUAUAAGCUCUUUGUAGGCAGAGGUUUAAUUUUUGCGUCUGUCUUAAAAUUAAGAAACUUUGCAUAAUUCCUGGCAUGUUAUGAAUAUUCAGUGUGUUUAACAUUUGAAUAAUGGGUGGAUGAAUAAAUACAUGAAUGCAUUAUUAAAUACUACAGGGUCUGUGUUAAGCAUUACAGUUGUACUAAAAAGAAGCCAAAGAGUAGAUGCAUAAUUGACCAUGUUGUGCUCCCUCUUUCACUCUGUAUACUACAAAAAAUGAGAAUAAGAGUGGAAUGCUACUAAAAUAUACUAUGUCGUAUAUUGGAAGAACAAAUUUGUCUACCUAAUUUUCAAAUUUAAAAUAUAGUGUUUGUGAAUAUAUAUAUGCAGGGGUGUUCAGUUAUUAUAAAGAUGUCAAAAUCCAUAUCAGUGUAGACAAAAUCCACUUAUUACUAAAGUUACUUUGAUUUGGCUCUUAGCACUAUCUAUUUUUUAAUUUUGAAAUAAUAAUUAGGAAUGAUGCUUUGACCUGUCUUACUCAAAAAAAUAUAGGGCUAUGGAACCAAAUUAAAUACUUAGGUUAAAGUCAAUCUUCCUUUUUCUUUUUCUUUUUUUUUUUUUUUUUCUUUUUUUAGGGCCACACUUGCACCAUAUGGAAAUUUCCAGGCUAGGGAUUGAAUCAGAGCUACAGCUGAGGCCUCUGCCACAGUGACAGCAAUAUGAGAUCUGAGCCAUGUCUGUGACCUAUACCAUAGCUCAUGGCAAUGCCGCAUCCUUAACCCACUGAGCAAGGCCAGGGAUCAAACCCACAUUCUCAUAGAUAUUCAUCAGAUUUGUUUCUGCUGAGAAACAAUGGGAACUUGUAUUUUGUAGAUAAUUGAUCUGUAUUCGAUUAUUCUGAUUUUGAAAGCUUUUCAGUAGUAUUUCUGUUUUCAGAUAUGAUUGAAUACAUAAUAACAUAAAUAAGUAGCUUUUAAAGAAAUUUUUAUUGUAAAAGCUUUAUAGAAAGGUGUUUGGAAUGAAACAAUAUUACUAUAUGCUGAAAAACAUACAAUAACUUUUAUUUGAAUUUGUACUUUGUUCAACAUACAUAGUUUUCAGAUUCUUGCACUAUAAUCAACACUCUGUAUAUGACAGUUCUUUAAUCAUGGGCUAUGUGAUUAUAUAAUCUUACAUAUUAUUUUAUAUUGAAGUGAUAUUAUAAAUUACUCUAAUUCCCAUCAUUAAUAUUUAUUUAAUUAUGUCCCAGCAAAUUUAAGAAACUGGCCAAUCUUCCAAAGAUUUUAUGAUUUUGAAAAAAAAAAAAAACUCCUAGCCAUGGAUAAAUGCCUUAAUUUUGUUCAUAUUACAGGAUAUUAAUUCAUUCUUCUUUCAUAUAGUAGUAAAUGAAUAAAACUGCAUCAGGUGUGUAAAACACAUCAGUAUAAGAUGAGGGCCAUAAGAGGGAUCAUAAAGUAUUGUUGUCACUAAUACAAGAUUUAUAUAAUUGACAAUUUAUAUUAAUAUAUGAAAGUGCAUAUAUAGUGCUUUCAUGUUGGCAGGAUUAGUGUGGUUCAGACUUUAUUUUCACCUGUUCUUUGAAAAUUGAAAAAUCCAAGAAAUGUGAUUUAAAAUGUCAGUAACUAUUAAGCACACGGAAACAUUGUUUUUGGCAAUAGGUGAGUAAUUACAAGAAGUAAAAUUAAAGAAGUUAACAGAGGAUUAAGGCUUCUACAAAAUACUUGAAGCUAGGAACAAAUUACAUAGACUAGUUUCCCAAUAUUAGUGAUGAUCUUAUAUUUCCAUAUUUCUUAGAACUCCUAAGGCCGCUGCAAUUAUGUUACAUAACCAAUGAGUAUAAAACUCAUAUAGUUGAAAAAUUUGUGUUGAAAAUACUAUUUUUAAGAAUUAAAAUGAUCUCAUAGAUGAUAUGAUCUUAUAUAUAUGAGUCCCUAAAGAUUUAGGGAAAAAAAAAAAAAACUAUUGGAACUAAUUAACAAAUACAACAAAGUUGCAGGACACAAAAUUAACACACAAAAGUCCAUUAAAUUGCUAUACACUAAUACUGAACAAUCUGAAAUGAAAAUUUAGAAAACAAUUCUAUUUACAAUAACAGAAAUAAUAAAAUACUUAAGAAUGAACAUAACCAAGGAGGCAAGAGACUUAGACGCUGAACAAAAAAAAAAUUACUGAAAGAAGAUACCAAUAAAUGGAAUAUAUAUAUAUCCUUGUUGCAUAUAUUGGAAGACUUCAGAUUCAGUGCACUCCAUAUAAAAUUCCCAAUGACAAUUUUUGCAGAAAUAGAAAAUUGCAUAUUAAAAGUCAUAUAGAAUCUCAGACCAAAGUAGACAAAACAAUUUUGAAAAAGGACAUCAAAAUUGAAAAACUCAAAGUUACUUAUUUCAAAACAAACUAUAAAAUAUCAGUAAUCAGGAGUUCCUAUUGUGACUCAGAGAUAAAGAACCCAGCUAGGGUCCAUGAGAAUGCAAGUUCGAUCAAUGGCCUUGCUCAGUGGGUUAAAUGAUCUGGCAUUUCUGUGAGCUGUUUUGUAGGUAGCAGACACAGCUCGGAUCCUAUGUUGCUGUGACUGUGGAGUAAGCCUGCGACUACAGUUCCUAUUCAGCCCCUAACCCAGGAACUUCCAUAUGUCACAGGU
rnacentral:lncRNA from 1 species